CAUGCAAGUCGAACGAGAAAGUCCUUCGGGGCGAGUAAAGUGGCGAACGGGUGAGUAAUACAUAGGAGACUGGCCUUUAGAGUGGGAUAACCCGAAGAAAUUGGGGCUAAUACCACGUAAGCUUAGCAAUUUUGAAAGUAGCUAAGGAAAGAAUGCCUCUAUUUAUAAGCAUUCGCUGAAGGAUGGGCCUGCGUAGCAUUAGCUUGAUGGUGGGGUAAUGGCCUACCAUGGCUACGAUGUUUAGCUGGUCUGAGAGGAUGAUCAGCCACACUGGAACUGAGACACGGUCCAGACUCCUACGGGAGGCAGCAGUGGGGAAUAUUGCGCAAUGGACGAAAGUCUGACGCAGCAAUGCCGCGUGAGUGAGGAAGGCCCUCGGGUCGUAAAGCUCUGUCAAUGUGGAAAAAUGGUCAAUAUUCGAAUAGGGUAGAGAUUUGAAGGUACCAUCAAAGGAAGCACCGGCUAACUUCGUGCCAGCAGCCGCGGUAAUACGAAGGGAGCAAGCGUUGUUCGGAAUUACUGGGCGUAAAGGGCGUGUAGGCGGACGGCUAAGUCAGAUGUGAAAUCCCGGGGCUCAACCUCGGAACUGCGUCUGAAACUGGUCGUCUAGAAUCUCGGAGAGGAAAGGGGAAUUUCGCAUGUAGGGGUAAAAUCCGUAGAGAUGCGAAGGAACACCAGAGGCGAAGGCGCCUUUCUGGACGAGUAUUGACGCUGAGGCGCGAAAGCGUGGGGAGCUAACAGGAUUAGAAACCCUGGUAGUCCACGCCGUAAACGAUGUGCACUAGGUUCGGGAGGUAUUGACCCCUUCCGUGCCGUAGCUAACGCAUUAAGUGCACCGCCUGGGGAGUACGGUCGCAAGACUAAAACUCAAAGGAAUUGACGGGGGCCCGCACAAGCGGUGGAUUAUGUGGUUUAAUUCGAAGCAACGCGCAGAACCUUACCUGGGCUUGAAAUCCCGAGAAUCUGUUAGAGAUAACGGAGUGCCCUUCGGGGAAUUCGGUGACAGGCGCUGCAUGGCUGUCGUCAGCUCGUGUUGUGAAAUGUUGGGUUAAGUCUCGCAACGAGCGCAACCCCUAUCUUUAGUUGCCAGCAUUAAGUUGGGCACUCUAGAGAGACUGCCUGGGUUAACCAGGAGGAAGGUGGGGAUGACGUCAAGUCCUCAUGGCCCUUAUGUCCAGGGCUACACACGUAAUACAAUGGCACAUACAAAGGGAUGCGAACUCGCGAGGGGGAGCAAAUCUCAAAAAGUGUGUCUCAGUUCGGAUUGAAGUCUGCAACUCGACUUCAUGAAGUUGGAAUCGCUAGUAAUCGCGGAUCAGCACGCCGCGGUGAAUACGUUCCCGGGCCUUGUACACACCGCCCGUCACACCAUGGGAGUUGAUCUUACACUGAAGUCGUGGCCCUAACCGCAAGGAGGGAGCGCCUACGGUCGGACUGA
rnacentral:rRNA from 1 species